AUUGAACGCUGGCGGCAUGCCUUACACAUGCAAGUCGAACGGCAGCACGGGAGCAAUCCUGGUGGCGAGUGGCGAACGGGUGAGUAAUAUAUCGGAACGUGCCCAGUCGUGGGGGAUAACGUAGCGAAAGCUACGCUAAUACCGCAUACUAUCUAUGGAUGAAAGCGGGGGAUCGCAAGACCUCGCGCGAUUGGAGCGGCCGAUAUCAGAUUAGGUAGUUGGUGAGGUAAAGGCUCACCAAGCCGACGAUCUGUAGCUGGUCUGAGAGGACGACCAGCCACACUGGGACUGAGACACGGCCCAGACUCCUACGGGAGGCAGCAGUGGGGAAUUUUGGACAAUGGCGCAAGCCUGAUCAGCAAUGCCGCGUGCAGGA
rnacentral:rRNA from 1 species